AGAGAGAGACAUGCGCGCAUAUCAAUAAGCGGAGGAAAAGAAACUAACAAGGAUUCCCUUAGUAACGGCGAGUGAAGCGGGAAGAGCUCAAAUUUGGAAUCUUCAAGGUUUUACCUUGACGAAUUGUAGUUUAAAGAAGUGUUUUCUGCUGAAGUUUUGGUAAAAGUUCUUUGGAAUAGGACAUCAUAGAGGGUGAGAAUCCCGUAUUUGACCAUUAUUUUCAGCUUUGUGAUACACUUUCAAAGAGUCGGAUUGUUUGGGAAUGCAGUCCAAAAUGGGUGGUAAAUUUCAUCUAAAGCUAAAUAUUGGCGAGAGACCGAUAGCGAACAAGUACCGUGAGGGAAAGAUGAAAAGAACUUUGAAAAGAGAGUUAAACAGUACGUGAAAUUGUCAAAAGGGAAGCGUUUGACACCAGUGUUGUUUUCUCGAAAAUCAAUUAAAAAUGGCUCGAUUUUGUAUUGCUUGAGACCUUAAAAGCUCACUGUACAUUUUUCGUGUCUUUUUUAAUGCACUUUUCGUUUAACAAGUCAACAUCAGUUUCUUUUGUUGUAAAAGGGUCAUUGGAAGGUGGCUUUCUUUUCGGAGAAAGUGUUUAUAGCCUUUGGCCUCUGCAAUCGGAGAGACUGAGGUCUGCAGCGUAGACUCUUCGGGGUUAGAUACAUUUGUGCUAAGUUAUAGCUUUUUAUAGACAACUUGUUGACUAUAAUUAGUCUUGUAGCUUACUCGCUUAUGCUAUUUUACCUACGCUUAGGAUGUUGAAGAUGUAGCACAUCAU
rnacentral:rRNA from 1 species